rnacentral:rRNA from 1 species
CUACGGGAGGCUCCAGUGGGGAAUCUUGCACAAUGGAGGAAACUCUGAUGCAGCGAUGCCGCGUGAGUGAAGAAGGCCCUUGGGUUGUAAAGCUCUUUCGUCGGGGAAGAAAAUGACUGUACCCGAAUAAGAAGGUCCGGCUAACUUCGGGCCAGCAGCCGCGGUAAUACGAAGGGACCUAGCGUAGUUCGGAAUUACUGGGCUUAAAGAGUUCGUAGGUGGUUGAAAAAGUUAGUGGUGAAAUCCCAGAGCUUAACUCUGGAACUGCCAUUAAAACUUUUCAGCUAGAGUAUGAUAGAGGAAAGCAGAAUUUCUAGUGUAGCGGUGAAAUUCGUAGAUAUUAGAAAGAAUACCAAUUGCGAAGGCAGCUUUCUGGAUCAUUACUGACACUGAGGAACGAAAGCAUGGGUAGCGAAGAGGAUUAGAUACCCUGGUAGUC